rnacentral:lncRNA from 1 species
UUAGGGUUUAGGAUUUAGGGUUUAGGGUUUAGAGUCGAAGGUUUAGGGUUUUAGGGUUUAGAAUUGAUGUUUUAGGGUUUAGGGUUAAUUUUUUAGUGUUUAGGGUUUAGAGUUUACUUUUUAGGGUUUAGGGUUUAGUGUUGAUGGUUUAGAGUUUAGAGUUGAAGUUUAGGGUUUAGGGUUUAGAGUUGAUGUUUUAGGGUUUAUAGUUGAAGGUUUAGGGUUUAGGGUUUAGAGUUUAUGUUUCGGGGUUUAGGGUUUAGAGUUGAUGUUUCAGGGUUUAGGGUUUAUUUAAAAAAAAAGGUUUUUUUUUUUUUUGUCGUCAACUAUUACAGACUCAUACGGACUCUGUAAACCAAACCAGGUGAUCUGCAUCCAAUUGAACGACAAAAAGGUUUUAAGAUUGAUGAUUUAGGGUUUAGGGUUCGUAUUUCAAAAAAUAUAGGGUUUAAGAUUGAUGGUUUAGGGUUUAGAGUUGAGUUUUAGGGUUUAGGGUUUGAAUUUCGAAAUAGUAUAAUUCAGAAAAAAAAUUAAAAAAUUGUUUUUUAUUUCUUUAGAUUUUUAUUUAUUUAAAUAGUUAUUUAUUAUA